GCGGGGUGGGACCUACCCGCGAAACCGAGGACCAGGAGAGAAAUUGUGACGGACAGUGUGUCCGGGGCCCUUCCGAGCGAUGUCGACAUAGAUGGUCCAAUAUCGCUAGAAUACGUGGGCACGUGUGACCGGUUAUUCUCAGCUACGGGGCCUCGGCUGAAACACCAAGACGGUGAAAGAUGUCUUCGGUUACAACCCUACACGCGUGGACCUGUGAAGUGAUCCCUCUAUUCCUUUGGUUCCUUUUGCGUCCCACGGGGUGACUACCGUGUUUUCACUGGUCUUUGACCUUGCCAGGUUACGCAUGGCGAAGGCGCUAGCAGCCUGCACUGGUUGACCGUCUUGUCAAGACCCCUACCUCUUGGUGUAUGCCCAUCUCUCUGGUGGACUGCUGGCUUCAUGAAGGUUCGCCUUGUCCCUCACUGUCGGGGCCUAGACCGGUGCGUGUUAUGUCGUAGAUACUCAACAAAAAUGUCCCGAAUGAAUUGCCUACUUCCUUCUUGAAAGUCUCUGUUGUUUACUGAUUUUUGUACUCCUUCUCAGGGUCCUUCCCAGACACAUUCCUCUCUAAGUGGCCUGAAAUAUUUUAUCUAGGUCUCUGUCCUCAAACUACAUUGUUACUCUUUCCCUAGGAAUCUCAUCCGUAUAAAUAAACUACACAGUGACGACUCUUGAUUCUGGAA